CAGGCCUUGCCCUGUCUGGAGGCGCAGGUUCUGGGUGAUUGUGACACUGGCCUCUAUGAUGUGUUUCCUGUGACCAGUACCUGUGACACCUGGGCGUCACGCUCUCACAGUCUUUCCCUUUGUGGAUGAAGAGACCAAGUCAGGCAGGUGAAGUGACUUGCUCAAGGUCACAUGAUGGUGAGCACAGCACAACUGGAACCCAGGUGCCUCAGCCCUGCUGGGGGGCUUCCCAGGGUGCCAAGGCCCGCCUGUACAGAUUCCUUACGUGGAACACCACGUGGAAAUGUACAAUGACAUGUGAGGCAGAGAGAAAUAUCAACCUGAACCUCAUUUCGAACACUUUAGAGGAGUGCAAGACUGACUUAAGUGUCUCUUUGGACCUCUCACUUGCCCUCAGACACAGAAAGAAGAGUCUGCUUGUGAAUGCCAUCCAUUAUCAACUAACCCACCUACAGAGAUGGGCUCAAAUCAUCUUCACGUCACUGGAAUGUGAGCUGCAUGAGGCCCAGGACCAUCGCUCUAGUUUCCAACACCCCCAAGGCUUUCCACAGGAACUAACGUAUAACGUUGCAGGAAUGGGGUGAAGUGGGAAAUCUACACCUUGGAGCCAUAUUACAGAAACCAGAAGCACCUAAACUACAGCCCCCUGGGGACAGUGUAAUGGACAGUGAGGAACAACGGAUGAUGGUCUAAAGGCUCAGGAGGUGCCUGCUUUCCCAGAAACCAUGACUGGUUUAACUUCUUUGCCUAUAACAGGGACAUCUUUUGAAGAAAAACAGUAUCAAGGAAAUCAUGUCCAGGGUAGAAAAAACAUUAUAGCUAGAUGAUACAUACAUCUGUU
rnacentral:lncRNA from 1 species